GACGAACCGUGCGAACGUUGUUCGGAAUUACUGGGCGUAAAGGGCGCGUAGGCGGGAUGGCAAGUCGGUCGUGAAAUCCUUCGGCUCAACCGAAGAACGUCGAUCGAUACUGCUGUUCUUGAGGGUUGCAGAGGAGACUGGAAUUCCCGGUGUAGCGGUGAAAUGUGUAGAGAUCGGGAGGAACACCGGUGGCGAAGGCGGGUCUCUGGGCAAUUCCUGACGCUGAGGCGCGAAAGCGUGGGGAGCAAACGGG
rnacentral:rRNA from 1 species